rnacentral:rRNA from 1 species
UACGUAGGGUGCAAGCGUUAAUCGGAAUUACUGGGCGUAAAGUGUGCGCAGGCGGUUUUGUAAGUCAGAUGUGAAAUCCCCGGGCUUAACCUGGGAACUGCGUUUGAAACUACAAGGCUAGAGUGUGACAGAGGGGGGUGGAAUUCCACGUGUAGCAGUGAAAUGCGUAGAGAUGUGGAGGAACACCGAUGGCGAAGGCAGCCCCCUGGGUUAACACUGACGCUCAGGCACGAAAGCGUGGGGAGCAAACAGG